AGCGAACGCUGGCGGCAUGCCUUACACAUGCAAGUCGAACGGUAGCAGGUCUUCGGAUGCUGACGAGUGGCGAACGGGUGAGUAAUACAUCGGAACGUGCCUAGUAGUGGGGGAUAACUACUCGAAAGAGUGGCUAAUACCGCAUGAGAUCUACGGAUGAAAGCAGGGGAUCGCAAGACCUUGUGCUACUAGAGCGGCCGAUGGCGGAUUAGGUAGUUGGUGGGAUAAAAGCUUACCAAGCCGACGAUCUGUAGCUGGUCUGAGAGGACGAUCAGCCACACUGGGACUGAGACACGGCCCAGACUCCUACGGGAGGCAGCAGAGGGGAAUUUUGGAAAAUGGGCGAAAGCCUGAACCAGCAAUGCCGCGUACAGGAUGAAGUCCUUCGGGUUGUAAACUGCUUUUGAACGGAACGAAAAGCCCUGGGUUAAUACCCUGGGGUCAUGACGGUACCGUAAGAAUAAGCACCGGCUAACUACGUGCCAGCCGCCGCCGUAACAC
rnacentral:rRNA from 1 species